GAAGAUACAAGCUGUCACGACUCCUUGCCAAUCACACCAGAACUGACCUAGGGAGAACAUCCACUGAAGUUGCAGAAGUCCUGGAAAGCAUCGCUCAGCCUACAUCACAAAAUCACUCAGGGGAAGGCCAGUUGGUAUGGGAGUCAGAAAGUCCUGCAGCAUUUCUGCCCUUUAGGCUGAGAUGAAAAUGAACUGCCUGGUCAUAGGAUGA